GAACAUUCAAGAUGAAAAGACCAAGUUUCUUUUCAUAACAUCAAGAAUGAAUAGCAAAUGGAGUGAAUAGCACUGGCCCAACACCUUGGGGCAGAAAGAAAUCAGUAGGUCCAUGUGCUCGGCUGGCACCCGCAGGCCAUGGGUCUCAGCCUCCUGCAUGAUGAACUGGGAGCCUUCUCCGGCCACCAUGUGGACAGCGCCCUCUUCAUUCACAAUGACUUGAGUAACGCCAUCCUUUAUCAGCUGGCUAGCUGCAGCCGUGUCACAGACAGCAAACUGCAGGACUCCCUGAACCAUCUUCUUGAAGGCCACCUGGGCUCGUUCCUGAGACGUGAUGAUGGUUGAGGGGCGGACAACCUGGGUCAGUACUUCCAUGGAUGCUGGACUCUCCUCAACAUCUUGGAACAGCUGAGCCUCCGUGGCCUCCGCCUUGGCGUGAGCCUGGGCCGCUUCCUGGCUGGGCAGCUGGAUCAGCACGUCCUUGUGGCUGGGCCGACCUUUUUCCUCAUGCCCCACUCUGCCCUCCACCUCUCCCAACUCAGUGACAGCACACAGCAGUGCAUCUAAGGCUGAGGAGUUGUCAGAUGGAGGGACUCCAGCCUCAGAGAGACUUAAGACCUCCUGCUUGGUGACCUGCUGUAUGACAGCAGCACCUGGGCUGAGGGCCUCGUCCACACUGUGACUUUCCAUGGAACC
rnacentral:lncRNA from 1 species